AACGAACGCUGGCGGCAGGCUUAACACAUGCAAGUCGAGCGCCCCGCAAGGGGAGCGGCAGACGGGUGAGUAACGCGUGGGAAUCUACCCAUCUCUACGGAAUAACGCAUGGAAACGUGUGCUAAUACCGUAUACGUCCUUCGGGAGAAAGAUUUAUCGGAGAUGGAUGAGCCCGCGUUGGAUUAGCUAGUUGGUGGGGUAAAGGCCUACCAAGGCGACGAUCCAUAGCUGGUCUGAGAGGAUGAUCAGCCACACUGGGACUGAGACACGGCCCAGACUCCUACGGGAGGCAGCAGUGGGGAAUAUUGGACAAUGGGCGCAAGCCUGAUCCAGCCAUGCCGCGUGAGUGAUGAAGGUCCUAGGGUUGUAAAGCUCUUUCACCGGUGAAGAUAAUGACGGUAACCGGAGAAGAAGCCCCGGCUAAUUUCGUGCCAGCCGCCGCCGUAAUAC
rnacentral:rRNA from 1 species